AUUGAACGCUGGCGGCAGGCCUAACACAUGCAAGUCGAGCGAGCGGCGGACGGGUGAGUAAUGUCUGGGAAACUGCCUGAUGGAGGGGGAUAACUACUGGAAACGGUAGCUAAUACCGCAUACCAUCAGAUGUGCCCAGAUGGGAUUAGCUAGUAGGUGGGGUAAUGGCUCACCUAGGCGCCGAUCCCUAGCUGGUCUGAGAGGAUGACCAGUCACACUGGGACUGAGCAACGGUCCAGAAUCCUGCGGGAGGAAGCAGUGGGGAAUAUUGCACAAUGGGCGCAAGCCUGAUGCAGCCAUGCCGCGGGUGUGAAGAAGGCCUUCGGGUUGUAAAGCACUUUCAGCGGGGAGGCGUUACCCGCAGAAGAAUCACCGGCUAACUCCGUGCCAGCAGCCGCGGUAAUUC
rnacentral:rRNA from 1 species